GUGCCAGCCGCCGCGGUAAUACAGAGGGUGCGAGCGUUAAUCGGAAUUACUGGGCGUAAAGCGUGCGUAGACGGCUAUCUAAGUCGGGUGUGAAAGCCCCGGGCUCAACCUGGGAAUUGCAUUCGAGACUGAAUAGCUAGGGUGCGGUAGAGGGAAGCGGAAUUUCCGGUGUAGCGGUGAAAUGCGUAGAUAUCGGAAGGAACAUCAGUGGCGAAAGCGGCUUCCUGGACCAGCACCGACGUUCAGGCACGAAAGCGUGGGGAGCAAACAGGAUUAGAAACCCUUGUAGUCC
rnacentral:rRNA from 1 species